rnacentral:rRNA from 1 species
AUUGAACGCUGGCGGCAGGCCUAACACAUGCAAGUCGAACGAGUGGCGGACGGGUGAGUAAUGCCUAGGAACCUGCCUGGUAGCGGGGGAUAACUUCCGGAAACGGGCGCUAAUACCGCAUACUAUCAGAUGAGCCUAGGUCGGAUUAGCUAGUUGGUGGGGUAAAGGCUUACCAAGGCGACGAUCCAUAACUGGUCUGAGAGGAUGAUCCGUCACACUGGAACUGAGACACGGUCCAGACUCCUACGGGAGGCGGCAGUGGGGAAUAUUGGACAAUGGGCGAAAGCCUGAUGGAGCCAUGCCGCGUGUGUGAAGAAGGCCUUCGGGUUGUAAAGUACUUUCAGCGGGGAGGCGUUACCCGCAGAAGAAGCACCGGCUAACUCCGUGCCAGCAGCCGCGGUAAUUC